GAAUUUUAUAUAAAUUUAUUAAGUAUUUAAUUUAAAUUUAUUAUAAUAAUAAAAAUUUAUAUUUAGUUGGGAGGAUUGUUAAAUUAUUAAAACUUUAAUUAUUUAUUAAAGACAUAGAUUAGUGAUUAGUUUGUGAAUAAUUAUUAAAUUAAAAAAGAAUAAAUUACCUUAGGGAUAACAGCGUAAUAUUUUUAGUGAGUUCAUAUUGAUAAAAAUGUUUGC
rnacentral:rRNA from 1 species